AUUGAACGCUGGCGGCAUGCUUUACACAUGCAAGUCGAACGGUAACAGGCCGCAAGGUGCUGACGAGUGGCGAACGGGUGAGUAAUGCAUCGGAACGUGCCCAGUCGUGGGGGAUAACGCAGCGAAAGCUGUGCUAAUACCGCAUACGAUCUAUGGAUGAAAGCGGGGGACCGUAAGGCCUCGCGCGAUUGGAGCGGCCGAUGUCAGAUUAGGUAGUUGGUGGGGUAAAGGCCUACCAAGCCGACGAUCUGUAGCUGGUCUGAGAGGACGACCAGCCACACUGGGACUGAGACACGGCCCAGACUUGUACGGGAGGCAGCAGUGGGGAAUUUUGGACAAUGGGCGCAAGCCUGAUCCAGCAAUGCCGCGUGCAGGAAGAAGGCCUUCGGGUUGUAAACUGCUUUUGUACGGAACGAAACGGCCUGGGUUAAUACCCUGGGCUAAUGACGGUACCGUAGGAAUAAGCACCGGCUAACUACGUGCCAGCCGCCGCCGUAACAC
rnacentral:rRNA from 1 species